UAUAAUCUAAGGGGGAAAAGAAUAAAAUAAUAAAAUAACUAUCUAACUAUUACAUAUUCUAUCUAAAUACAUGUCUUGAACUCCCUAACUAUUACAAUUUGACAUUUAAAUGCCUCUCAAAUAAUCAAAAAUUAAAUUAGAAUCAAUAUACAAAAUUAAAAAACAAAUAAAGUGAAUAAAUAAAUAAAACAAAAUAAAAUUCAAAAAAUAUGCAAUUACACACAUAAAUUCACAUAGGAUCAAGUAAAAUAAAAAAUAAAGGAGUAGAGUGUAUCUCCCUUGAAUUGGUGACCUAAUGAGACGAAAUUUCUCUUAUUUAUCUUCCAAAACAAAGAAAAUUGUCAAGGCACCACUUUAAUUAAUACAUAAUCAUAAGAGAUGGAAAUAAACAUGAAAUUGAACAAUUAAAGCAUUUAAAUGAAAGUAAACAACCUAUAUUUAAAAAUUUAAAAACAAGUGGGGACUUAAUUGAAAGAAUUAAAGAAGUUUGAGGGGUCAAAUUAUUAUUAUUACAAAUAUUAAGGGUUUAAAUUAAAAUAAAAUAAAAUUAAGGACUCAAAACAAAGCCUAUCACACCUAAUGAUAAAAUUCACAAAAAUAAAUGAAUACCCACUUGCUCCACUUGCUAAAAUUAAACAACAAAAAGAAUCACCUAAAUAUUUAAUUUUUUUGCUAAAACCCAAAUCAAAACUAUAAAUCUAUCAAAACUAUUAAACCUCAAAUUUCAUCCUAAAACUCAUAAAAAAAUCUGUCCAAAAAUCACAUUAAAGCAUACCAAAGAAAAUUAACAUUUUAAGGGACAAGAAUUGAUUUUUUUUCAAUUUUCUGGGCCAUAGUAGCAUUAGACAAAAAAUGGAGCCAAAAUACAAUUUUCAAAAGUUCCCAUGCAAGUAAUCGCAUCUUUCUUGUUCGAAAGCUUUCUUUUUCCCUGCAACCUUUCUGGGUUCAUCCGAAACAAAUUCCAAGCCAACAAGAUUAUGCAACUUAUACUUUUUAUUUCUAAAACUUAAAUGCUCAAGAUUCACAAACACAAAGGAGAGUAUCAAGGAGAUCAAACAUGGCAAAGCAAUGGAACAAAAAUCGUCAAACCCCAGCAAAGGUUCCGCAAUUCGCACACAAGAUGGGCUCUAAUUUUUACCAAAAAGAAACUUUAAACCGGUACAAAUAAAAUCCAUGAAUACCUGGAAAUGUUUGUGAGUUCUGACAGCGAGAAAUGUUCCUUAGAAUGCUGACUGGUUCGUGAGAUGAAGUCAAGCAAAUUUCGUCACAGUGGGGUGCAGCAAAAACGAACCCGUGACUUGGAGCUUCGAUUUGGUUGUCAUGGAGGGAUUUUUGAUGAACGAUUUCUUCACAAAAGUUGCUUUCGGGUAUCCAUAGAUGAUGUAUAAAAGCUAUCUCUUUCAAAAAACUAGAAAUCAAGUCGGAAAUUGAUCUACAAGGAGGCUGAUUGAUCAGCCUGGUACCAGAAAUUUUUCCAGCAAAAAUAUUUUCCCUUCCUUCGCUGAUUUCCUCUCACUUUUCUUUCCUUUGCCUUUUGUUUUCCUUUCUAAUCUUCCCCAGGUUUCCCCCCUUUCUCCUCUCUUUCUCUGGUUUCCUUUCUUCCUCCCUUUCUCCCUUCCUUUCUUUCUCUCUCUCUUUUCCUUCGCUAUCCCCAGAAACCCUUUUCCUUUUUCCUGUUUUCCCCGAAGCUCUCCCUCUCUUUCCAUCUUUCUUGUUUUUUGUCUUCUGAUCUCCGCCACCCCCUCUCAAUCCCUCCUCCCUCUCUCAGUUCUUUCUCUUCCUUGUUUCCUCCUUUCCCUUC
rnacentral:lncRNA from 1 species